rnacentral:rRNA from 1 species
GAUGAACGCUAGCUACAGGCUUAACACAUGCAAGUCGCGGGGCAGCAUGGGGGUUGCUUGCAACCCCUGAUGGCGACCGGCGCACGGGUGAGUAACGCGUAUCCAACCUGCCCUUCACCACGGGAUAACCCGGCGAAAGUCGGACUAAUACCGUAUGUUGUCCAUUGACGGCAUCCGAUUUGGACGAAAGGCUUGGCGGUGAAGGGAUGGGGAUGCGUCCGAUUAGCUUGACGGCGGGGUAACGGCCCACCGUGGCUACGAUCGGUAGGGGUUCUGAGAGGAAGGUCCCCCACACUGGAACUGAGACACGGUCCAGACUCCUACGUGAGGCAGCAGUGAGGAAUAUUGGUCAAUGGGCGUAAGCCUGAACCAGCCAAGUAGCGUGCAGGAUGACGGCCCUAUGGGUUGUAAACUGCUUUUAUGCGGGGAUAAAGUGGCCCACGUGUGGGCUUUUGCAGGUACCGCAUGAAUAAGGACCGGCUAAUUCCGUG